UACGUAGGGUCCGAGCGUUGUCCGGAAUUAUUGGGCGUAAAGGGCUCGUAGGCGGUUUGUCGCGUCGGGAGUGAAAACCGGGUGCUUAACACCUGGCUUGCUUUCGAUACGGGCAGACUAGAGGUAUGCAGGGGAGAACGGAAUUCUUGGUGUAGCGGUGAAAUGCGUAGAUAUCAAGAGGAACACCUGAGGUGAAGACGGGUUGCUGGGCUGACACUGACGCUGAGGCGCGAAAGCCAGGGGAGCAAACGGG
rnacentral:rRNA from 1 species